GAUGAACGCUGGCGGCGUGCCUAAUACAUGCAAGUCGAGCGAACGGACGAGAAGCUUGCUUCUCUGAUGUUAGCGGCGGACGGGUGAGUAACACGUGGAUAACCUACCUAUAAGACUGGGAUAACUUCGGGAAACCGGAGCUAAUACCGGAUAAUAUUUUGAACCGCAUGGUUCAAAAGUGAAAGACGGUCUUGCUGUCACUUAUAGAUGGAUCCGCGCUGCAUUAGCUAGUUGGUAAGGUAACGGCUUACCAAGGCAACGAUGCAUAGCCGACCUGAGAGGGUGAUCGGCCACACUGGAACUGAGACACGGUCCAGACUCCUACGGGAGGCAGCAGUAGGGAAUCUUCCGCAAUGGGCGAAAGCCUGACGGAGCAACGCCGCGUGAGUGAUGAAGGUCUUCGGAUCGUAAAACUCUGUUAUUAGGGAAGAACAUAUGUGUAAGUAACUGUGCACAUCUUGACGGUACCUAAUCAGAAAGCCACGGCUAACUACGUGCCAGCAGCCGCGGUAAUACGUAGGUGGCAAGCGUUAUCCGGAAUUAUUGGGCGUAAAGCGCGCGUAGGCGGUUUUUUAGGUCUGAUGUGAAAGCCCACGGCUCAACCGUGGAGGGUCAUUGGAAACUGGAAAACUUGAGUGCAGAAGAGGAAAGUGGAAUUCCAUGUGUAGCGGUGAAAUGCGCAGAGAUAUGGAGGAACACCAGUGGCGAAGGCGACUUUCUGGUCUGUAACUGACGCUGAUGUGCGAAAGCGUGGGGAUCAAACAGGAUUAGAUACCCUGGUAGUCCACGCCGUAAACGAUGAGUGCUAAGUGUUAGGGGGUUUCCGCCCCUUAGUGCUGCAGCUAACGCAUUAAGCACUCCGCCUGGGGAGUACGACCGCAAGGUUGAAACUCAAAGGAAUUGACGGGGACCCGCACAAGCGGUGGAGCAUGUGGUUUAAUUCGAAGCAACGCGAAGAACCUUACCAAAUCUUGACAUCCUUUGACAACUCUAGAGAUAGAGCCUUCCCCUUCGGGGGACAAAGUGACAGGUGGUGCAUGGUUGUCGUCAGCUCGUGUCGUGAGAUGUUGGGUUAAGUCCCGCAACGAGCGCAACCCUUAAGCUUAGUCGCCAUCAUUAAGUUGGGCACUCUAAGUUGACUGCCGGUGACAAACCGGAGGAAGGUGGGGAUGACGUCAAAUCAUCAUGCCCCUUAUGAUUUGGGCUACACACGUGCUACAAUGGACAAUACAAAGGGCAGCGAAACCGCGAGGUCAAGCAAAUCCCAUAAAGUUGUUCUCAGUUCGGAUUGUAGUCUGCAACUCGACUACAUGAAGCUGGAAUCGCUAGUAAUCGUAGAUCAGCAUGCUACGGUGAAUACGUUCCCGGGUCU
rnacentral:rRNA from 1 species